AAAAGAGAUAAGUGUCUGUUAUGAGAGAUUAUGUGUCUAUUAGUGAGCGUUUGGUUCUAUGUUGAUGAAAUAGUUGAUGGGUUUUUUCGUCCUUUUUACCUCGGAAGGAGUUGGCAAUCUACGUAGUUCCACUUCAUCGUCAGAAUAAAGAUCCAUAGGUUUGUUGGAUUUCGCGAAACAGGUUUUCUUGGGACAAAGAAAUGAGGAUGGAGAAGAUGGUUUUGGG
rnacentral:misc_RNA from 1 species